rnacentral:rRNA from 1 species
AGUGAACGCUGGCGGUAGGCCUAACACAUGCAAGUCGAACGGCAGCACAGUAAGAGCUUGCUCUUACGGGUGGCGAGUGGCGGACGGGUGAGGAAUACAUCGGAAUCUACUUUUUCGUGGGGGAUAACGUAGGGAAACUUACGCUAAUACCGCAUACGACCUACGGGUGAAAGCAGGGGAUCUUCGGACCUUGCGCGAUUGAAUGAGCCGAUGUCGGAUUAGCUAGUUGGCGGGGUAAAGGCCCACCAAGGCGACGAUCCGUAGCUGGUCUGAGAGGAUGAUCAGCCACACUGGAACUGAGACACGGUCCAGACUCCUACGGGAGGCAGCAGUGGGGAAUAUUGGACAAAGGGCGCAAGCCUGAUCCAGCCAUACCGCGUGGGUGAAGAAGGCCUUCGGGUUGUAAAGCCCUUUUGUUGGGAAAGAAAAGCAGCAGGUUAAUACCCCGCUGUUCUGACGGUACUCAAAGAAUAAGCACCGGCUAACUUCGUG